rnacentral:lncRNA from 1 species
AAGCCAUGGGACUGGAAGGCAGCAGGCAGAUGUCAGGGUUGGGGAUUACUGGCUCAGAAGCAGGAAAUCUCAUGUAGAAGCCCAGAACUUUCAAGAGAUAAGAAGUAGAGAGAUUCUGGUUUAAAGAGAGAUGACAGAAGCCCUGAAUGUCCUCUCUUCUGCUCCCCCAGAUACCUUCAUGGACUACAGGGCUGUACAUACGGGUCAUGGGAUACAUGAACUUCAGGCUUAAUCUCUGUGUGAGAAAAACAGCAUGAAGAUAAUCAACUCUAUGUCAGAAGAAAUUGGCAACACUACUAACCACGAGUAAUGCACACCGAAGAACUCACCUUCUUAUGGAGUCACCUUCAUCCCUCUGCUCAGCAAACAUGUCUCUCCUAUAAGCAAAUUCAAUAAGGAAUUUUUCCCCUUUAUUGUUGACACAGUAUCUCUUUACGAUGGUGAAGGACAUGUUUGCUUCCUCUUCUGCUAUGAUUAAGUUUCAUGAGGCCUCCCCAGCCCUUCAGAACCUGGCAGCUACGUGCAUGAGCACAGCCUCUGAAAGCAUGCUGUCAGAUGCCGGGUGUGAAACUCUGGCACUUGGGAUUGAUAAGGCUGGCACCAAAAGGAGCGUCCACCACUGGGUGGAUUCCAUUAUUGUUCCUAUGCUACAGGUGAAGAAGGUGAAGCUCAGAGAGAUCAAGUAGUGGUCGAUCUUUGUAAGGUGCCUCAGCUUUUUCAUGGAGAGAGGCUGGGAAGGAAGGCAUUGCAGUUACUUGUUAAUUCCUCAGAAUGUUAAUUUACUAUGAAGAUCUACUCCCUAUAGCUGAAGUUCCACUGAGAUGUGAUUAUAUUACCUGAGUGAAUGCUUAUAUUAUCUGGAAUAAGAACUGUUUCAUACUUAUAAGGUUCUUUAAUCUACUCUUGGCAGGUCUAAAUUAAACAAAGUCUAUUAGUUUUCUUCAG